UACGUAGGGUGCAAGCGUUGUCCGGAAUUAUUGGGCGUAAAGGGCGCGUAGGUGGUUCUGUAUGUCUACCGUGAAAGCGUACGGCUCAACCGUAUUUUGUCGGUGGAAACUGCAGGACUUGAGGCUGGGAGGGGCUGGUGGAAUUCCCUGUGUAGCGGUGAAAUGCGUAGAGAUGGGGGAGAACACUCGUGGCGAAGGCGGCCAGCUAGACCAGUUCUGACACUGAGGCGCGACAGCGUGGGGAGCGAACAGG
rnacentral:rRNA from 1 species